UGAAAUUAGGCCUAUUAAGAACCCCCAAACAGCCUCUAAUCGUUCAAGUGAAAGGAAGAGUCAACUGAUGCGGCAAACUUCAUUGCUGCCUUAUCUUAAGAGAUUACCACAGUCACCCCAACCUUCAGCAACCACAUCCCUGAUCAGUCCUCAGCCAUCAGCAUAAAGGCAAGACCCUCUGCCAGCUAAGAGAUUACAACUCGCUGAAGGCUCAGAUGACAGUAAGCACGUUUUAGCAAUACAAUAGUUUUUAAAGGAAACCAGAAAAUGCAUGUGACUCACUUUAUUGCGGUAUUUGUUUUAUUGCGGUGAUCUGCAACCGAACCCAGAAUAUCUUUGAGAUGAAAGACAUAAAAAGCAAAAGGAAGGACACUGAAACUGAGUGUUCACCUUGAGUCACUUCUGAAUGUGAUCCAGCACAGGAAAUGGCUGCAGAAGCAUCAAGAACAUCAGUGUUAUCUGAGCAAGUCUUACCUGGCAGCACGGCAGAGUUCUUGACUCAUGGAGGAAUUCGUUACGGAGUUUGGGGAAAAAAAGGAAAUACGUUCUAGAACUUCUACCUAUCAGUAUUUGUCUUAGAGCAGUAAGGUAGUCUAGUAAUUAAGAGCUAAUGGGUAAAAUUUGUUCAAAAAUGUCAAUGAACACCUGCUUGUUUGGAAGCAUCUCUUUUCAAUAUCAUAUACUUUUAUAACUUAUAUGCCUCUGAAUCAAAAACCAUCAAGCAUCACUUGACUGUAUUAUAACAAUUAUGAACAUGGUCAGUUGGUAUAUGUGCUUCUCCCCUAGAGUAUGUAUGUGCAUAAACAGGACCCCUUAGCAAAGUUUAAUUCAUGCCUUGAACCUCAAAUAAUUCAAAACUUGGUCCUAUUCCAAGGCCUACAGAUCUUCUUUGGUAAAAUCUGAGUUGCCUCCAAACAUUUCAUAUAUUGGACUUCUUUAUAAAAUGGGAUGUGUCCAUUAAUAGAUUUUCUAUAUUUGAGAAAUUGUAUAUUUUAAACACGUGAUUUAAAAGAGCUGGCCAAAAACUGACUCAGAAAUAAAUUCCUUGCCUUUCAGAUUUGACAGAUGCAGGAGGCCUAUGAAGUGGACCAAGGAGGGACAAAGAACUAGCUCAUGGGUGGGAACUGCCUAUGAGUAAGAAGGGCAUGAGAGACAUGUUCCUUUGUGAAAUAAAUUAGGUGUUUACCUACCUCUCGUUUGGCUCUCUAUGAAAUAGAGAACCUGCAUCAAUUACUUUCCCAUAUCAUCAAUUAUCCUCUGAUAAAAAUAAUUCAGUUUUCUGAAAAUAUAAAGUUCUGAAAUGGUUCCAUGCCCAGGAAAAUGAACUCUUUAGUACUGAAGUGAGCAUGGAAUAGAUAGAAACACUUCUUUCUUGAUGAUUAUAGGGAAUGUGGGCUAAUUGACAGUGUACCAUGUGGAAUAAAAUAAUUAUUUGAUUGUGAUAUCUACGUAUGCUAAACAGCUAAUGCAAAAAGAAUGAACUUUUGGAUAAGUUGUUAUAAGAGUAAACAAGAUGAUGUGUGUGUGGAAAAAAAAAGAGUAAACGAUGAGAAAGAGCAAAAAGAAGGAGAAAAUAAAAAUCACAAAUUAGAGCAGCUGUGCAAUCUGAGGGACUCGGCAACUAUUUUGGGUCAACACCAAUUCAACAUCUCUUUAAGGCACAGAGAGCCUCUACUGUGAAUGUGACUGUGUGCUGACACAGAAGCCUAUCCGAUAGCCUAUGUAUAAGUGAUAGCGAAGACAAAACAAUUAAGACAAACAUUUCAGCACAUAAAGGGUUAUAAAGCACCAGAUCUCAUAAAGCUUAGCCACUUAUUCUCAAGAAUUCUGGAGAGUCUGCAUUUAACUGUAUUCUUACUUGAACUGGGUUCAAACAUUUUAUAUAUUUGAAACUCUUUGUUCAAUUAAAAUCAUAUGCAAAACAUAAUACCUCAAACAAGUAUAAAUAAAACUUCUUAGUUUAGGGGUGAGAGGUAAGAUUGGUGGCCUGAAGUCCCACCUACUAACAGCCUUUUAUUCCUGCCUUGCCUGGGUGCUAGCUCCCCAGGGAAGUUCUGUGGAACCUCUAUGGCUCUGAGGAGCCACAUGACUGAAACAUUUAAAAAGAAAAGCAUUUCGGUCAUAUAGAUUGGAGAUAUUUUCUGUUCAAAUUAGACCUACUGUUUGUCAACUCCCAGAUCCCUGACAAAAAGACAAGACUUGACAAACAUCAAUAUCUAGUUAACAUGGCAGAUUCAACGAAUCUGUUCAUCACUGCUCUGUGUCUUAACACUGCUAAAGUGAUGGUAAAUCAACAUUAUCAUCAUCCACGAAGACAAAAAAAAAAAAGAAGUCCACAAAGUAAAGCUAACGUCAACAAACUGUAAGAAGAUAGAAAGUUGAAAUCUGUAGGCCCUAUGAAAGGGAACUGAUUUGUGCCACAAAACCCCAGAAAGACUAGAGAAUUGGAGACACCAGGUUCUGAAGAUGGGAGUCAAAAGAGGGGCUAUAGACAAGAGGGUUAUUUGAGCUAAGCAAUUACCCCUCAAUUAUCUUUCCAGGAAAUAAAAGGUUUAAUCUCUAGUGAGGCCUCAGACUCAAAGAUAUCUUCUUGUAAAAGAAAGGCUCUUAGCCCUCUUUCUCUAUUUAGCUACCAGAACACUGGAAAUGGGUGACUCCACACAGGUCAGAGGCAACAGGACAUGCUAAGAUGAUGGCUUUGCACCGCUCCUGGAGGGCAGCCAGUCUAGAACAAAACAGAGAAGAGAGGGCUACCAGAAAGGCUUCUCCGGGAAGGACACUUCUCCUUACUAGCUUUACAGUACCUUAAAGAAUUGUGUAGAAGUGUUAGUACGAUAAUAAUAAACUAUUAAAAAUAAAGAAUACUCAGUGCUUGAUUACCAUUCAAUUGGAAAGCAACAAACAUAACUUUGGAAAAAUAGAUUUCUAAAAAUCAUUUCUUCUUGUUCUUUGAAAAAAUAGUUACCUUCUCAAUUGUAUCCUGUCUAGAUUAAUAAAAAAUCAUUCUGUGUUUUUAAUGACUACUUUGGGAAGAGAGAAGUGAUAUGAAAUCUUACAAGGAAAGUUAGGACUAGCAAUAGAUACCGCUAUUGUUAUGGAUAAUUCACCCACAGAUAAUGCAGAUGGUCUUUACCAUUCAAAUAGAAUUCCUCCUUUGAUCAUGUAUUGCCCAAAUUGAAUUUCUGUACACAUGACACCCUUUUAGAGUAUAACGUAAAAAAAAAAGGAAAAAGAAGAAAGCCAAAUCAUUUUCCUUCAUACCCUGUAUAAAUGGAAUUUGCCCUCUUUAAAGUCUUAGAGUGGUUACUUACUUUCCGGCAAAACCAUCUGUAAAGAUUUCCAACUGGAAAUGUAUUUUGCAUGAUAACAGGUUGAAGUCAUGAAUCACUUGGUAACUCAUUAGAGUGACUAGCAUCAAAGGAUCCCUUAGGAGUUUGGGGGAAAGGUAGUUAAGCAAUUAAUGAAGUUAUUUAAAAUCCUGCUAUGGUUGAGCCUGUUUUGAGGACUGCUGGGGAUUAAUAUUUAUUUAAUAGAUUGUCUGUUUCCAUGCCAAAGCAAGAAAUGUGACAGAAGUCACCCUAGUCUAAAUGUAAAAAAGGUAGCCCAUUUGAAGCAUAUUUUAUGCUGGUAGUUGACACCAUUAUAGUCUGUACCAUUAUAUCACCAUACAAAAGUCAUCAUUCUCAAGCUGAAAUUAACAUUGCUGUUGUUUUCGAUUAGAAGAAUUGGCUCUAAAUCCAGCAAUUCUCUGCAGUGAUUUAUAUUUUAGUAGCUGCCAUUUUGCACCAGGAGGGAACAUGUCAGAGUAUAACCGCUCUCUGAUGAGACAUAAGCUAUUAAAAUUGAUAUGAGAUGGCAAAAUGGGAGAAUAGCAAUGCAGGGGUAAAGUUUUCACGUGAGAACAGUCUGUUAUGACUUCAUUCCUGAGACUCUCCACUAAUCUUUAGGUUUGAUUCAGAACCUAGUUCUUUUCAUGGAAAUGUACAGGAUGAGAACCAUUUCUUGCAUAAAGUACUGAAAAUGUAUUAGGUGCUAGAAAGAUUGUAAGAAUAUAUGAUGGCUGAGUUGAUUGACAGAAUGAAAGCUCCCAAAGACAUUUUAGGAAUUUCCUUAAUUGUAUCAAGAUUUACUUUCAUACGUGAUAGCCCCACUUUAUCACUAAUCUGUUUUAAAGAGUAGUUAGUGAUUUCACCCUGAGGUCCAGGACUAUGAACUCAGAAAAACUCAUAAUCUUUGACCGUAUUAUUUAACUCUUAAACUACCUUUAUCCCUGAAAACAAUCAGAGGCCUCUGAAAUCUCUAUUUUGGAUCUAUUUUGCUCACCCUUGAAGCCCUUCAAAAUAGGGCCACCUUUAGAAGAUAAUAUUGUAUGAGUUUAAAUUUUGGAGGGCAAGGGCUGCUUCCUCUUCAUUUUCAUAUCUGUGGCACAAUACCAGACACCUAAAUUCAUGAAUAAAGUCCCAUAAGUGUUAAAGUCUACGGUAACAUUAUUAUUAGUAUACACAAACAUUAAAUACCAAUAAAUAAAGCCUUUGGGGGUUGAUUCCUAUCUCUGGGUCUUGAAGAAAAUGUCUUGUAGGGCUGGGACACUCCCCAUACCCUACUUCCAGGAUGCCUUUUUACUCCAAGUGUUCAUGUUUGCUUUCAAGGACUGGUUAUUCUCUUGUCUAGUCUCUAAGAGAUGGAGUUGCUGCCAAAGGUUGGUAACUGUUUGUAUUAUAUACUACCUCCGGUUUGCACAUCCCUUUGUCCAAUGCAAAACAAAUAAAAAAUAAAAUCAACAUAAAAUCAUCACCUUCUAACUUUGCAGCGGUGGCAUGGUGGUAGCCAUGGUGAAGUGGAAUGGUAAGUUUGGAGAUGGGAGAGUAGAGUGCUUGUCUCAUCAAAGGCAUUAGUCAAGUGAUUGAGACGGUAGUGAGACAUAGAAACAAAACUUUUGGCAACAGCAUCUAAGCAUCAGGAAACCAGUUCAAAUGCCUACAUCAUCAUAAGGUCAGGAUCUUGAAGUGCAUAGUUAACCCCUGUGAAAUGUCAUACAGAAUAAGUAAGGCAAGUUAGACAAAUAAAGCAUGUGAACAAGGGGUCUUCGUUAUUAUGACUUAAUCACAAGAAAGCAUUUCAGGCCAUAGCAUCAAUUUACAGCUCGGCAUCUAGGAAUAAUCCAAUGCCCAAAUGCCAAAAUAAUGUCACCUGUCAAUAAGUUAGCAAACCUAUUAGGUUAAUCCCAUGGCAAUCAUUUUUCUCACAUGUAACAUUAAAAACACUGUUUUUACCCAGUUCAAGUAAGAAUACAGAAGAUGUGGGUGAACCUGUGUAUACUAUCCCCUUUACCCUACUUCUCACCAUCUCCUUCCCAAUCACCCAUUUAAAAAUAGAUAAACCAAGAACCUCCUGUCAUUGUCCUUGGAAGGUACGGUUAUUCUGUGCCUGAGUAGAGGCCACUGUAUAAAAUAAUAAUAGUAUUACUG